rnacentral:rRNA from 1 species
UACGGAGGGAGCAAGCGUUACUCGGAAUUAUUGGGCGUAAAGGGUGCGUAGGCGGCGCGGUAAGUCGGGUGUGAAAUCUCGGAGCUUAACUCCGAAACUGCAUUCGAUACUGCCGUGCUUGAGGACUGGAGAGGAGACUGGAAUUUACGGUGUAGCGGUGAAAUGCGUAGAUAUCGUAAGGAAGACCAGUGGCGAAGGCGGGUCUCUGGACAGUUCCUGACGCUGAGGCACGAAGGUCAGGGGAGCAAACGGG